rnacentral:pre_miRNA from 1 species
AUCAAGAUCAGACUCUGCCCUCCGUGUUCACAGCGGACCUUGAUUUAAUGUCAUACAAUUAAGGCACGCGGUGAAUGCCAAGAGCGGAGCCUA